CCACAGAACUUUCCAGAGAUGGAUUGGUGCCUUCGGGAACUGUGAGACAGGUUGCUGCAUGGCUGUCGUCAGCUCGUGUUGUGAAAUGUUGGGUUAAGUCCCGCAACGAGCGCAACCCUUAUCCUUUGUUUGCCAGCGGUCCGGCCGGGAACUCAAAGGAGACCGCCAGUGAUAAACUGGAGGAAGGUGGGGAUGACGUCAAGUCAUCAUGGCCCUUACGACCAGGGCUACACACGUGCUACAAUGGCGCAUACAAAGAGAAGCGACCUCGCGAGAGCAAGCGGACCUCAUAAAGUGCGUCGUAGUCCGGAUCGCAGUCUGCAACUCGACUGCGUGAAGUCGGAAUCGCUAGUAAUCGUGGAUCAGCAUGUCACGGUGAAUACGUUCCCGGGUCUU
rnacentral:rRNA from 1 species